CAAGACGGCUCACGCUGCUUUGGCUCCCGCGGAGCCCAGCGGGGCAGUUUCUUCUUAAGAAACCUGUCGGGACCAUAUGGCCUUUUAGCAGCGGCGUCCCUAGUUGUGUUAAAAACGGCUAAGAAAAUAACCGCCGGUUGUUUUGUCAUGCUUCGAGUAAGGUAUUUUGUAUAUCUGGCCUAAUUUUUUUUUUUUCCCUGUUACCCUUUCUAGGUUCCCUGCUAUUCUUAUGGUCAAAAGUUGUCCAAACUAGCCAUCUUGAGAAUAGCCUGUAACUAUAUCCUUUCCCUGGCCAGACUAGCAGACCUGGAUUACAGCGCUGACCACAGUAACAUGAGCUUCUCCGAGUGCGUGGAGCAGUGCACUAGGACCUUACAAGCCGAAGGAAGAUCUAAAAAAAGGAAGGAGUAGUGACGAGGAAGGGAGGCUUGAGACGCGCGUCCAGCCCGAGUUACAGCUAGUCUUGGCAAAGGUUGCGUGAUGCAGAUGAAGGCGGCAGGCGGCUUUUAUCUCGCAGAAGCCCCUCUUCGAGACGACGCUCGGCCGAGGAACUUUCCCAAUCUCUGGAACGGGAGGAAAAAAAGAAAGAAAGAAAGAAAGAAAAAAAAGGACGAGGAUGCUUCUUCUUGUUUUUUAAGCCAGCCACCUUUUAGUAUGUGCAAUUUAUUUAGCACUUUUCCCUUUGCUUAACUGGGAAAUGCUCCCCUCUCGGCUCAUGUGUACAGUAAUUUGUUGUUGUUGUUGUUGUUGUUGCUGACGUGCCAAAGAUUUGAUGGCGCUUCUACACUGUGUCUUCUUUUUGCCUUAACGUUCAAUCUUUGAGCCAAAGAAAAGUCAGAAAUUCCAUGCGGAUGCCGUCGCGCGGGCCAGUUAGCGAGCAGCGACAACUCUGACUUUCUGACUCCGUCGCUGAGUUCCCUCGUACUCCUCCUGUCCGCACGUCCCUGCCUGCAGCCCUGCAGCCGGCGGCCCUCACUGUGGGAACGAGCUGGGACACGCCGACUUGUGCUCCAGCGGUCAGCGUUUAUUUUUUGGGGGUUUCUUUUUUUUUUUUUUUCUCCUUUCUUUGAGCUCUUCCACAUUUCUACCUUUUUUUUUUUCUUUUUUUGGGCAAUUUCCCAGCGUGCUUUCCUGUGAAACGCAUCCGCAGGGUAGAAAUACUGACUCAAAGUGAGAGCUGAAACAGGAGCUAUGAUUUGAUUUGAAUUUUUUUUUUUUUAA